GUCCUGCCUUCUUUUUACCCACCCCUGUGGCUGGAGGGCUUGGGAAUGGCUUCUGAGGUUGGGGUGAGGGGAGGAGGGGCUGUCUAGGUAGUGGUGGAUGAAUCAUGAUCUGGCCUGUACUGGUUAUUGGCUAAAAUGAGGACUUUUCCAAGUCUGUGGAGUCUCUUUGCUUGAGCUGGAAGGAAAUAUGGUUCAUGGGAUCCAGUUACCUCAUCCACUGCAAGUAAGCAGAGAAAGUUGCCCGGGAGGACUCGACAAGCUCUGCCUGCUGGUUUUCCAGGGCCCUUGCUGGAGGAAGGAAUGGGCAGAGCCCGGGAAUACUCUCAAGUGAACACCCUGCUCAUGGAAUCCAUUGGAAAAUCAGCUCACUGUAAUAAUGGAGGCGUUGAUGAUAGUGGUGGUAAUGGUGAUGAUUAAGUUUCAGACUGGUGGUCUCCGUGACUAUGAGAUAUGCAUGACUAUGCAUACUGAGUUCCAGGAGAGAGAGAAACCAGGCUGAGCAAGUCAUAGUGCACAAGCCAGUACACAGCACUCUUCCAUUGUCUCUGCUUCAGUUCCUGCCUCAGGUUCCUACCUUGAGUUCCUGCCUUGACUCCCCUCAGUGAUGGAUGUGACCUGGAAGUAUAAGCUGAAAUAAACUCUUUCCUUCUCAA